rnacentral:rRNA from 1 species
UACGUAGGGUGCGAGCGUUGUCCGGAAUUAUUGGGCGUAAAGGGCUCGUAGGCGGUUUGUCGCGUCGGGAGUGAAAACUCAGGGCUCAACCCUGAGCGUGCUUCCGAUACGGGCAGACUAGAGGUAUGCAGGGGAGAACGGAAUUCCUGGUGUAGCGGUGGAAUGCGCAGAUAUCAGGAGGAACACCGGUGGCGAAGGCGGUUCUCUGGGCAUUACCUGACGCUGAGGAGCGAAAGCGUGGGGAGCAAACAGG